CAGCAGCCGCGGUAAUACGUAGGUGGCAAGCGUUGUCCGGAAUUAUUGGGCGCAAAGCGCAUGUAGGCGGUAAUUUAAGUCUGUCGUGAAACUGCGGGGCUCAGCCCCGUAUGGCGAUGGAAACUGGGUUACUUGAGUGCAGGAGAGGAAAGGGGAACUCCCAGUGUAGCGGUGAAAUGCGUAGAUAUUGGGAAGAACACCGGUGGCGAAGGCGCCUUUCUGGACUGUGUCUGACGCUGAGAUGCGAAAGCCAGGGUAGCGAACGGGAUUAGAUACCCCGGUAGUCCUGGCCGUAAACGAUGGGUACUAGGUGUGGGAGGUAUCGACCCCUUCCGUGCCGGAGUUAACGCAAUAAGUACCCCGCCUGGGGAGUACGGCCGCAAGGCUUAAACUCAAAUAAAUUGACGG
rnacentral:rRNA from 1 species